GUGGGCUGUGGGUCAGUGGCUGCUCGGGAGGAGGUUGUAGGUCGCCUGGAGGUAAGCAAGAGGUGGAGCAAGGCAGGUGGUGGAGCACAGCAAGGUGACCUAGCACUUCACUGCAGGUGGCUGAGCGCCCAGGCAGACUGUGGGCACCAAGCUCUGCGACUCAGGCCAAUCCUGGUGAUUCAGAAGAGGUUUUCCCAAAUGAUAACUCACCGAAUAAGGACUGAAGGGUUGGAAGUAUAGAGAACAUCCCUACCAGAAACGUUAUCAUUAGAUGAUGCAAGACCAACACUGAACUUCCAGCCCAUUAGCCUUCGUGGAGCCGGCUGGCAGCAGGGUGGUGUGGUGGGUCUGCAGAGCAGAGCAGUGAAACCCUCCCGGGGCAGAAAGAGCCAAGAGGUAGGUGCUCCAGGGCUCGUGGGGCUGCCACAGAGGGUGUCCUGUGACGAUUCAUGCAGGAAUCACCCCUGGCAGGGACUGGCCCUGCAGAAGGUGUUCAUAAAGCUUUUUUGAAAUGCUGACUCCCUUGGCUAAAACAGAUGGAAAAGGGCUCGGCUUGCUGGUAAUUUAAGGGUUUGUGAGCCACUGCAGACAACUUCCCAGUGCUGGCUGCCCUGUGCUGAGCCACAUGUGUGUGAAGCAAGUGACUCAUCUCACUCCAGGGGAAACGCAGAGGUACGUGCAAAGCUGUGCCCCACUCCGACUGCUGUUCUCCCUCUGAUUUUAAGUAUUUCUCUCAUGUAUUGGCCAGCCAGCUGUGACAGCAGGGCUGGUUUAAGGGCUCUCAGCAAGUUGUUUUUUCUUUAGUGGAAAGCUGAUACCUAUUUUCUCUAGUUAAAAAAGGAGUUACUGUAUGUGUUUGGGUGUCUGUAACUGGUGUCCUUGUGGACACAGUGGGGUUAUUCUGGCACGGCCACAGUGCGAAAGUGCUAAUCUCCCCCAGCUGCACUUAUUAAACCAUUCAAGUAAAGACCCCUCUGAUGAAGGAGCAAGGUUGUGAGGUCUGGUUUUUGCUAUAAGACUCACUGGAGAUCCAAGAAACAGCAAUUGUGAAUGUUAGGGGGCUUUAAGCCCGUAAAUCUUCGGGACUUGUCACUCAUGGUCUUUCAGAUCUCCAGUUGAAAAGACAGGACUAGCUCCUAUGCUCCCCAUCGGUAUGGGGGAAGUUUAAACCCAUAUUCCUCUGGGGUGUCCUCAGGGAAAUCAUGACCCCAAAGGCCAAACACUGUGCGCUCAGGAGAUACUGAAGGCAGCAAGCUGCUGUUUCCUGGCGUCACCAAGACACCAGAGUCUGCUGCCAGCUUGUUAAAUGGGCAUGCUUCAGGGAGCUGAAGUGUAAUCAAUGUAAAAAAACAGCUGACCGAAUCUGUAGCUUUACUUAGGAGCUUGUCAGAGGUAAGGUAAUGGCCUAGUAAAACUUGGUGAAAGGUGGCGUUUUGGGGCCUCUGUAUAUUUUUAAUCUCUGCGUGCAAUAAAGCACUAAACAUCAGCUCUUGCUUUUGCUGGCAGAUUUCUUGCAGGAAGACCUACUUGGGGACUCCAGUAGCUCUGAAUACCAAUCAACUGAAAGGAAAGGGGGAGUUUGGACCAAUUUCUCUGCUGGCAUAACUCCAUUAAAGCCAGAGGGUGAAAUCACAGUCCUGUUGAGAUGCAUGGGAUUUUUGCCAGAUACACGACUGCUGAGAACUCUUUUAAUAACUCAGCCCUGAUUUUGCUUUGUACUGAAACCUCCCUGUGAAUCUUAGCCUACAAACACUCAUAUCUUGCACACAGAAGAAUGUUCUGCAGCAAGCAAAUGAGCUUGGAAGAGGAUUUAGCUUCAUCACUGGAACCCUGCUGUAGAAUUCGUUGCAGGCAAAAUUUGACUUGUGUGGGUAAGGCACUGGCUGAAUGGCACACACAUUCAAGACCCUCCAUGAUGGAAAGGCUCCUGCUUUGGCUGCAGUCACACACUUUACCAGAUAUCCCAUGAAGUGCACAAGCACAGUUUUGGUGCUGCCUCUUUGGCAUGACCCACUCAUGUAGUCAGUGCUCAUUAACAUUUUUAAGACCAGAUUAUUGCAGGAGUCCUAGAUACUGACAAUACAUCUCUCUCUUCUCCCAUCCAAUUGCAUAAUGCUGUCAUGGCUUCUGAGCUUCUUUUUUGGCCAACUUGUUGUUCCUGAGUAUUUGGGAGUCUUCUGGAGGGUCUUGUGCCUGAAGAUACACCAGCAUCAGUGCCUUCUGUGCUUAUGCUGUUUGUGGAAGACUGACUACACCUCCAGUAAGGAGGUCAGAAAGCUGGUGCUUCCAUUGCCUGCAGAUGCAAGUAGGUAGCCUUAUCGUCCUAAGGUUAAAAAAGAAGCAGGAAAGAUAAUGCUAGGAAAAAAAAAAAUAUAUAUAUAAAAUUCUGGUUUCCUUAAACAUCAUAAAGAAGCAGUGGUUUGCUUUGCAGGUCACCUUCACGGCAAAUGGGAAUCAUUCAAUCACUGCCAGAUAAUAUCAAAGUCAUUCUCAGGGGCUGGCAAUUGGAAUGAUAAUUGAAAAAAAUAUGAGUAAGAUUUUAAAUGUCUCUUUGUGAGACAGAGCAAAAUUGUUCAUCAGUGGAACAGAUACUGUAAAUACUGUCUUAAAGUGGAUCUGAAAGGAACAUGUAUCUCCUUGACAGAUAAGAGAAGAUGGCCAGUUCUGUCUUCCCAGCUUAGUCCCAGCCCCUUACAGAUACAGAGGGAGUUUGUGACCUUGCUUUCCUACUCUAUGCGUCAAGCUUAGUAGACCUCUGGGUUUCUUUUAGCGCUUGAGAAGACGGAUAGGAAAUUUUCCACAGAAUCACAGAAUUGUUGAGGUUGGCAGGAGCCCCUCAGAUCAUCCAGUCCAACCAUCCUCAGGCAGGGCGAGCUAGAGCAGGUUGCCAAGGAACAUCUCCAGCUGAGUUUCAAAUAUCUCCGUGGAUGGGAACUCUACAACCUCUCUGGGCAACCUGUUGCAGUUUUCGACCACCCUCAGAGUAAAAAUAAUAAAAAAUGAUGUAUUUUCUUGUGUUCAGAUGGAAUCUCAUGUCUUGAUUUGUGCCUCUUGUCCUGUCCAUAGGCACUACUUAGAUAAGUCUGCUUCCCUCCUUGUUGGGAUGGACCUUUCUUGAACAUGGAGGAGGUGAUCGUAGAAUACCAGACAGCAUUUCUGGACCUAGCCUCACCAGGACUGUAUUACAAGCAGAUCUCCAAAGAGGCCAAAGUCUGUUCUUCUGAAAUCAAGGUUGGGGUCCUGCCUUUUGCCCUGCUUGCUCCUUUGAUAAUCCUGAACCACACUAUCUCAUAGUCACUGCUGCCAAGGCUGAUCCCACCAUCACAACCCCAACCAGUUCUUGCUUGAUUUUAAGUAUCAUGUCCAGGACAGUGCCCUUCCUUGUUAGCUCCUUGAUGACUCGUGCCAGGGAGUUGUCACCAGCGCACUCUAGAACUCUCCAAGACUGCCUGAGCUCUGCUGUAUCCAGGGCUUGGGUAUCGGGGUGGUUAGUCCCCCACGACAACCAGGACCUGUGAAUGGGAGGCUGCUUCCAGUUGUUUAAAGACCCCAGUGAGGGCAUAGCCCUGUAGCUAACUGCACACAAACUUUCAGCAGGUCCUGAGGAAACAACCACAAGGGAAGGGAGUUGCUGAGUAGCAGCAACCUUAUGAAGUUCCGUCUGCCCCUUCCUUCUCCAGUCACAUUCACGAUUAGUCCAAUUUACACGCUAAACCUUCCAGCCCUUCCACCUUUUUCUGGCACCAUCGGCACUCCAGCUGGACAUACUGACACUCAGCUAAUGUCAAAAAGCUGUCACAGAACAGCCCAAACUGCACAGCAGCUGACACCAGCUCUCUCCGUCCAAAUGCUCCUGAUGGUUUUGCAAUUCAGCUCUCCCCCUUAGGAAAGGUAGCAAGGCACUUUGCUUCCCCUCUGCAAAAGCCCACUUAGCUAGCUGGGCUUUCCCCUUCUACUCCUGUAAGCACAAAUCUGUAGAUGACAGCAGUUAGGAAAUGCUUGGCCAUACGUUCUGCCACACUGGGGCUCUGGUCACACAAAUGUUGUGCCAUGCUCAUCUGUAGGCAGUGGAGCAGGCCUGCUGGGUGCAACACAGUGCUCAAACAGGUGCUGGACGCAAGAAUCUGAGGGAAAGGUGGUAUGAACCACAGGAAAAUUUGCUUAAAGCCCCCAAGAGCUUAAUACCACACUUCUGUCCCAAAUCCUGCAGUCAGUGCAGAUAGGGAGAUGACAAACUCACUCAGUGGCCUCUCCCCUGCCUGUCUCUUCAGUUCAAGCUCCCUGGUUCUGCAGCCCUGUCCUGAAGAACCCCAGCUGUGACUUUAACCUGGUAAUGCUAAUGCCUUCAGAGUGGUCGUGAAUUGCUUUAAUAGUCACUUGGGAAAGAGAGCAAACCAAACUCUUUUCCAGGAGCACCAGCGUCCCUAGCAAAAGUUAGAGAAAAAUAUUUUUAUCUGUAGAACCGGUAGAGUUUUUUCACGCGGCUGGCGGCCCUUUCACCUGCCGCUCUGGCCACUCGUCCACAGGCAGCAAGGCAGGCUGUUCCUGUCCAGAUAGCCCCCACCACAGACCGCAGUGAGCUCAAAGAGAUGCGAGAUGUUGUGGUGCUAGGUUUUGUGCAGGAUGGAGCUCCCGGCGUAGGAAUUGUGCAUGAAGGCUGAGGUUGCUCGGCUAGGUGGCUGCGCUCCCUGUGGGGAAGCUGCCGUCCCUUCAUGUCUGACCAGCAUGUCCCCAGCCUUCACAGUAACGUGUCCACAGGUGGCUUCAGGGCGCAUGCGUGGGCUUUUUGUGUGUGUGCCGAACAGGAUCGGGUCUCAUGUUUUUGCCACAGUAAGGUUCAAAGCACGGUAAGGCACAUCCCCAGGCCGUCCUUCCCCCUGCCCACCGGGCACCCGCCUCCGGCAGCAUCAUGGCGGGGGACACACGUUCCCCCCCCCACCCCGGGCAGCAGAAAAUGGCGGCGGCGCGGUCCAAUGGCGGCGCUCCGCGUGCCGCGGACGGUUCCAUUCGUCUCCCCCCGC